AGAACGAACGCUGGCGGCAGGCCUAAUACAUGCAAGUCGAACGCCGUAGCAAUACGGAGUGGCAGACGGGUGAGUAACACGUGGGAACGUGCCCAAAGGUACGGAACAACUCCGGGAAACUGGAGCUAAUACCGUAUGUGCCCGAGAGGGGAAAGAUUUAUCGCCUUUGGAUCGGCCCGCGUCUGAUUAGCUAGUUGGCGGGGUAAUGGCCCACCAAGGCGACGAUCAGUAGCUGGUCUGAGAGGAUGACCAGCCACACUGGGACUGAGACACGGCCCAGACUCCUACGGGAGGCAGCAGUGGGGAAUAUUGGACAAUGGGCGCAAGCCUGAUCCAGCCACGCCGCGUGAGUGAUGAAGGCCUUCGGGUCGUAAGCUCUGUGGGAGGGACGACAGCGCCGUGAGAGCGGUGAUGACGGUACCUCCUUAGCAGCACCGGCUAACUUCGUGCCAGCAGCCGC
rnacentral:rRNA from 1 species